AGAGUUUGAUCAUGGCUCAGAUUGAACGCUGGCGGCAUGCCUUACACAUGCAAGUCGAACGGCAGCACGGGAGCAAUCCUGGUGGCGAGUGGCGAACGGGUGAGUAAUAUAUCGGAACGUGCCCAGUCGUGGGGGAUAACGUAGCGAAAGCUACGCUAAUACCGCAUACGAUCUACGGAUGAAAGCGGGGGACCUGUAAGGGCCUCGCGCGAUUGGAGCGGCCGAUAUCAGAUUAGGUUGUUGGUGAGGUAAAAGCUCACCAAGCCUGCGAUCUGUAGCUGGUCUGAGAGGACGACCAGCCACACUGGAACUGAGACACGGUCCAGACUCCUACGGGAGGCAGCAGUGGGGAAUUUUGGACAAUGGACGCAAGUCUGAUCCAGCAAUGCCGCGUGCAGGACGAAGGCCUUCGGGUUGUAAACUGCUUUUGUACGGAACGAAACGGUCUGCUUUAAUACAGUGGGCUAAUGACGGUACCGUAAGAAUAAGCACCGGCUAACUACGUGCCAGCAGCCGCGGUAAUACGUAGGGUGCGAGCGUUAAUCGGAAUUACUGGGCGUAAAGCGUGCGCAGGCGGUUAUAUAAGACAGAUGUGAAAUCCCCGGGCUCAACCUGGGACCUGCAUUUGUGACUGUAUAGCUAGAGUACGGUAGAGGGGGAUGGAAUUCCGCGUGUAGCAGUGAAAUGCGUAGAUAUGCGGAGGAACACCGAUGGCGAAGGCAAUCCCCUGGACCUGUACUGACGCUCAUGCACGAAAGCGUGGGGAGUA
rnacentral:rRNA from 1 species